rnacentral:rRNA from 1 species
GGUGCUUGACUGUGAGACCUACAAGUCGAGCAGGUACGAAAGUAGAGCAUAGUGAUCCGGUGGUUCCGCAUGGAAGGGCCAUCGCUCAAAGGAUAAAAGGUACGCCGGGGAUAACAGGCUGAUCCCCCCCAAGAGCUCACAUCGACGGGGGGGUUUGGCACCUCGAUGUCGGCUCGUCACAUCCUGGGGCUGGAGAAGGUCCCA